rnacentral:rRNA from 1 species
UGGGGAAUAUUGGACAAUGGGCGCAAGCCUGAUCCAGCCAUGCCGCGUGAGUGACGAAGGCCUUAGGGUUGUAAAGCUCUUUUGGCGGGGACGAUAAUGACGGUACCCGCAGAAUAAGCCCCGGCUAACUUCGUGCCAGCAGCCGCGGUAAUACGAAGGGGGCUAGCGUUGUUCGGAAUUACUGGGCGUAAAGCGCACGUAGGCGGACUUUCAAGUCAGGGGUGAAAUCCCGGGGCUCAACCUCGGAACUGCCUUUGAUACUGUUGGUCUCGAGUCCGGAAGAGGUGGGUGGAAUUCCUAGUGUAGAGGUGAAAUUCGUAGAUAUUAGGAAGAACACCGGUGGCGAAGGCGGCCCACUGGUCCGGUACUGACGCUGAGGUGCGAAAGCGUGGGGAGCAAACAGGAUUAGAUACCCCAGUAGUCCCUGAGCGGGCUGGCAAGGCGCAU